GCACUCCCGGGGCGUCUCUAUCUCAUCGCGAGAGGAGGCGCACCUAGAGCGUACACGCUGAUACCCGAAAGAUGGUGAACUAUGCCUGGCCAGGACGAAGCCAGGGGAAACCCUGGUGGAGGUCCGCAGCGAUUCUGACGUGCAAAUCGAUCGUCGGAGCUGGGUUUAGGGGCGAAAGACCAAUCGAACCAUCUAGUAGCUGGUUCCCUCUGAAGUUUCCCUCAGGAUAGCUUGCGCUCGGAUGAAACGAGUCUCAUCCGGUAGAGCGAAUGAUUAGAGGCCUUGGGGUCGAAACGACCUCAACCUAUUCUCAAACUCCAAAUAGAUGAGAACCCCGGCUUUCUUGAACUCUGUUUAUGAAGCCGGGGGCUCGGAUCAGAGUGCCAAGUGGGCCAAUUUUGGUAAGCAGAACUGGCGCUGUGGGAUGAACCAAACGCGGAGUUAAGGCGCCUCAAUCGACGCUCAUGUGAAACCAUGAAAGGCGUUGGUUGCUUAAGACAGCAG
rnacentral:rRNA from 3 species